rfam:Phytophthora ramorum strain Pr102 Scaffold377 genomic scaffold, whole genome shotgun sequence.
GUUGGUGCAGCUUAGUGGUUGAGCGCUCGUUUACCAAACGAGAGGUCGAUGGUUCGAUUCCAUCCACCAACA